CCAUUGCUCAGUUGGUAGAGUACAAGGCUCUUAACCUUGUGGGCGUGGAUUCAAGCCCCAUGAUGGG
rnacentral:tRNA from 1 species